AGCACUGAGCUGCCACGGGCAUGACCCUUCCAACUCUGCUGUUCCCUUUCUGCUGCGCUUCAGUAACAAAUUGAUUUCCUCCCCGCUCCGAGCAGCCUCUAUUAACUGUGACUGGGAUUUUCGCUGUGGGGAUGGGCUGGAAGCUGAACAAGAGCGGUACCCCCUACUCUAUAAGCAGUGUCUCGGGGAAGAAAUAAAAGCCUUGCAAGAAGAAAAGCCACCUCGCCAUCCAUCACCCUACCUGCAGAGAAGGGCAGAAAAGCCUCCCGCCUCCUGUACUGGCCGUUUUCCAGGAAAUGUUCAGGAUUAAAGGUGUCGGGAGUCUCCCACACGUUUUUGUCGAACAUUAUCGAGGUCAGGCUGGUCAUCAGGGUGGUGCCCUGCGAGAGGUGGAGAAAAGGGGCGAUUACGCGGAGAGGAGCCGAAAUGUUGUCAGACUGGGUUAUUAUUAGCUCUGUAAAUUACACUGUUUUAACGGCAAAACGGGCCCUUUUUCCCUCCUAAGCCACGUAAUUAAGAUGAAAGCCUGCAGGAUUGUUCACUUGUGUGUGUGUCUUUACAGAUCACUGAGUUUUGAUCUGCAUCCUGAGCUGCAGUAACAGGUAGCAGUCAAUAUAAUCUCCUGCCUCGGACUGGUCCAAAUCCUCUUUGUGCUUCGCAAUCACGCCUUUCACAAAAUAUUGAAGUUUCUCCCAGUGCCUGAAGAUUUUCCUGAAGGGUCCUGGCAACCAUCUCAUGAUCAAAGGAAAAGCAUUAUAAAGCUGUUAUCAUUCCAGACAUGAAAGUUUUGUCCCAAAAUCCUGGUGGCUGUGCUUACCAAAGCCUUUAAAUAUUUCUUGGAGGAGUGGAAUAUUUGGCCGGUCAGCAAAUAUUUCAGCCUGGUGGACAAGAGCUUCUCUCACCAUCUGGUACCCGUUGACCACCACGAAUGUCAGACUUCCAAACUGCACGCUGAAGAUGUUCCCAUACCGACCCGUAAGCUGAAAGAGAGUCCAUUGUCCUCUUGAACAAGAAUAUGGGAAUGUUCAAAACUCUCCAGGCCAAGACCUUGAACAGGGAAAUCUGACUUUGAAUUUAACCCUGCUUGAAGCAAAGGGACUUCAGAGAAACCCAAACCCGAGCAUGCAGGUCCCAUCCAAUCUCAGCUACUCCAUGAAGGCUGGAGAAGGCAUAAAAAGGGCUGGAGAGCUUUAGUAUGGGAGAGAUGGAUUGUUUAUAUUUGUUAUCUGGUGUGACCUGGGCUUGACCAGGUGUUUCCAUCAGUUUGGCUUGUAACAAGGAUGUAAGUUGCUUUCUAACUGAUGGGCAUCUGCUCUGUCCCUUUCUGUCCCACCACCUGGGUCACCACACUCAGGCUCUUCCUGCUGAGGGCAAAGCACGACAAAUUAUCCCUUUCAUCAACUUUGUAUCCAGAGCAGUGUGGUUUCUUCUCCAGCUCUCCCAUUUAGACAGGAGCUCUAACUGCUUAUUGCUAGACACAUACUUCUAAUUUUAAGCCUGACUGCAUUUAUGGCCAAAUUGCAGCCAUUUUCCUUGCAUGGACUUUGCUGGCAUUAGUGUCUCCUCUGAGAUGUAUAAGGGUAAAAGGAGGAUCAUAUCUUCUCUCUGUCAGGGUGCUCAUCUUCUUCUUAGAAUGAAUCUACAUGAAAGGACACACAGGGUCACCCCAGACUGCUGUGGUGACUCAUGAAACCAGCUUGGGACCAAAUGGGUGUCUCAGUCAUUGUGUGCUUGUAAGUAAAUGGGAUUAAUUUUCUUAAUAACUGUGUGUAUUGCCAAAAUAUCCUAACUCAGGGAUUCCCUCAGGGACCACCCAUGCUGGUGGCCUGAGAGCACCCAGGGUAGACAGGGUAGUGUCAGCCUGCUAAGCAAAAGCAAGAGACAAAUAGUCACCAGAAAGGAUUUUUGCAGUCAGCAUGUCAGAACUUCUUCCACCUUUUCAGAGAGAAAUACUCAGCAUGCAUAAAAUCUCUCUCUUUUUGUCUCUGGUGGGAGCAAAUCCUUUCCAGAGAGAUCAUUGCCUCUUUCUGCAACACAGAAGAAGCCACAGGACAGGAUUUUAAAUGUUUCUUUCAGAUGUGAUGGGGUGAAUUGUUGGCCUCUGAGCAAGGACAAUUUCCAGAGGUGAUCUCCAAACAGUUCCGCUGUCACACAGCACUUUUCACCUUUCCCCCAGCCUGGCCCAGCCCUUCGGAGCCCUUUCUGAGGUCCAGAUGGAAAUGGUUAGUUACAGUCAGAUGGGAAGAAAAAGAAGGAACAUAUAGGGCUUCCUCCGUUAUUGAUUUCUUUCCCAUUGGACCAUCCUACUCCCCUGGAAGAGGAGGUGAUUGUGAGAGAUAAAACCAAGAAGGGUCAUCUAUCUCAUGUGGUUGUUAUAUACCCAGCUCUGCAGAGGCUGCCCUUGCUGCUUCUCAGUGUAGUGAGUGAUAAGAGUCAUGGAAGGGUAAGAUAUUGUUAGUAGGGAAAAUGUCUGUGGAGCUCUUACCUUCUGCAGUGCAAGAUGGAGGGGCUGCUUAAAGUCCACAAAGGUUCCCACGAGAGGAAAGAGCUGCGGCCCUGGAGGGAAAUUCCUGGGUCGUCUCUUUUUCACUAGGUCAAUAAUCAAAAGAGACAAGACCAGAACCACCAAAAGCAUCCGACCAUUCAGCUUUUUCGAGAAUGACACAAAAUCAGGCCAAAACUGAAGCUCCAUCUUGGCUGAUGAACUUGCAGGUUUUCAUCCCAGGAAGGGACUUGAUUCUGGUGUUACAUUUGCUAAAACAGGAGUAAGUAACGACUGGAGAAGAAACAAAAAAAGCUAAAAUGCUGAUAGCUGACUGGAAGCUGCUUUUCCGUAUACAGCUGCUGCCAGACCACCUGCUGAAUAACUAACUUUAAACACCAGGAUCUCCAAAAACAACCUUGAAACCUCACAACAUUUGGCCAAGCAAAAGCAAUCUUGCAAACCUUUAGCUUUACAUCUCUGUCAACUCCCUGAUUUCCUUAUGGAAGAGCAUUCCUCCCUUUUGCCCUGAACAAGGGGCUCCUUUAUAUGACACCCCGUUGGGAUUAUCAGCACAGCAAACAUUCGAGGUGAGGUGAAAGCAGCUUAUGGGGCUGAUCACAUGUGGUGGGCGUCGCGCACUUUCAGGGAUGCUGAGGCAUCUGAGGUGAUGGACACCACACAAGGGGCUGAGGGGCUGAUCCUGUUAAGUGCUAAGCACUAUCUGCAAAGGGCUGGGUGCCUUCACUGCCCACCAAAGCCUUCCUGGCUUUGCCAGAGCUGUCAGGGGAGGUUCAGACAAGGGAAGAACUGCAGGGGCCCAGGGCUCUCCCAGCCACACAAAUGAGAGUUAAAGGAGCUUAAUUUCAAGAGUGAGAACAUAGGCUCAUGUGCUUGCCAUGGGAUUGGAACUUAUGCAUUUAAAUCUCCUGGGUUUUCUGAAAAUCUCCUUUGAAUAAGGCUUCACGCUGACCUGGGGGAAGGCUGCAGUGGACUGACAGUGACCUCUAUGACUUGGAAGCAAUCUUGUGUCACCUGCUGAUAUUUAGCUACAACUUGGUUCCAGCUCACUCUUUCCCUUUUUUUUUCCCUUUUACAAAAUUUACUUUUACAAUGAAUCUAAAUGUAUAGUAAAGCAAAACUAUAAAUAAUGGGUUUUCAAGUUAUUUGCCUAGAACUUAAUAUGAGAAAUUCUGAAGGAUGGUAAUUUUUUACUGCCAUAG